rnacentral:rRNA from 1 species
UACGUAGGGUGCGAGCGUUGUCCGGAAUUAUUGGGCGUAAAGGGCUCGUAGGCGGUUUGUCACGUCAGGAGUGAAAACUCGGGGCUCAACCCCGAGCCUGCUUCUGAUACGGGCAGACUAGAGGUAUGCAGGGGAGAACGGAAUUCCUGGUGUAGCGGUGAAAUGCGCAGAUAUCAGGAGGAACACCGGUGGCGAAGGCGGUUCUCUGGGCAUUACCUGACGCUGAGGCGCGAAGGCGUGGGGAGCGAACGGG